rnacentral:miRNA from 1 species
CCACCGGGUAGACAUUCAUCCGC